rnacentral:rRNA from 1 species
GGUUAAGCGACUAAGCGUACACGGUGGAUGCCCUGGCAGUCAGAGGCGAUGAAGGACGUGCUAAUCUGCGAUAAGCGCCGGUAAGGUGAUAUGAACCGUUAUAACCGGCGAUUUCCGAAUGGGGAAACCCAGUGUGACUCGUCACACUAUCAUUAACUGAAUCCAUAGGUUAAUGAGGCGAACCGGGGGAACUGAAACAUCUAAGUACCCCGAGGAAAAGAAAUCAACCGAGAUUCCCCCAGUAGCGGCGAGCGAACGGGGAGGAGCCCAGAGCCUGAAUCAGCAUGUGUGUUAGUGGAAGCGUCUGGAAAGGCGCGCGAUACAGGGUGACAGCCCCGUACACAAAAGCGCAUGUGCUGUGAGCUCGAUGAGUAGGGCGGGACACGUGGUAUCCUGUCUGAAUAUGGGGGGACCAUCCUCCAAGGCUAAAUACUCCUGACUGACCGAUAGUGAACCAGUACCGUGAGGGAAAGGCGAAAAGAACCCCGGCGAGGGGAGUGAAAAAGAACCUGAAACCGUGUACGUACAAGCAGUGGGAGCACCCUUUGGGG